ensembl:snRNA U6 U6 spliceosomal RNA
GUGCUUGCUUCAGCAACACAUAUAUUCUAAAACUGGAACGAUACAGAGAAGAUUAGCAUGGCCCCUGAGCCAUGAUGACACGCAAAUUUGUAAAGCCUUCCAUAUUUUU